AAAAUUGUCUCUUCUUCUCUCUCCUUUUUCUCUGCUGAAACCGUAGGCCAACAAAGAGAUUGAAAUCCUUUUUUCGCAUCAUCUCAUCUUAACAAAGAAACCAAAUUUCCAUCUCCACAAAGGGUAAAGUGCACGAUCCCCAAGGACGAUGAACUCUUGUUGCCUACAUCGGGUUUACGGUUCAACACGACAAUGCUCGUGGACCCAUGAAAGGAGGAAGUAGAUAUCACCCCGAGGUUGAUCUCGAUGAAGUCAAUGCACUAGUUUAGCUCAUGAAUUGGAAGAUGGCUGUAGCUGACAUUCCAUACGGCGGAACAUCCGAACAUGGUGUCGUCUAUGCCACUGAAGCUGAAUACGGCAAAUCGAUUAGGGAGUUGACAUUUGUAGUUCAAGGUUUUGGGAAUGUUGGAACAUGGGCAGCCAAAUUGAUACACGAGGAAGGUGGAAAAGUGGU